AUUGAACGCUGGCGGCAUGCCUAACACAUGCAAGUCGAACGGUAACAGGUCUUCGGAUGCUGACGAGUGGCGAACGGGUGAGUAAUACAUCGGAACGUGCCUAGUAGUGGGGGAUAACUACUCGAAAGAGUGGCUAAUACCGCAUGAGAUCUACGGAUGAAAGCAGGGGAUCGCAAGACCUUGUGCUACUAGAGCGGCCGAUGGCAGAUUAGGUAGUUGGUGGGAUAAAAGCUUACCAAGCCGACGAUCUGUAGCUGGUCUGAGAGGACGAUCAGCCACACUGGGACUGAGAAACGGACCAGACUCCUACGGGAGGAAGCAGUGGGGAAUUUUGGACAAUGGGCGCAAGCCUGAUCCAGCAAUGCCGCGUGCAGGAUGAAGGCCUUCGGGUUGUAAACUGCUUUUGUACGGAACGAAAAGCCCUGGGUUAAUACCCUGGGGUCAUGACGGUACCGUAAGAAUAAGCACCGGCUAACUACGUGCCAGCAGCCGCCGUAAUAC
rnacentral:rRNA from 1 species